CAAUGGGGGAAGCCUGAUGCAGCGACGCCGCGUGGAGGAAGAAGGUUUUCGGAUUGUAAACUCCUGUCGUUAGGGACGAUAAUGACGGUACCUAACAAGAAAGCACCGGCUAACUACGUGCCAGCAGCCGCGGUAAUACGGAGGAUCCGAGCGUUAUCCGGAUUUAUUGGGUUUAAAGGGAGCGUAGGUGGAUUGUUAAGUCAGUUGUGAAAGUUUGCGGCUCAACCGUAAAAUUGCAGUUGAAACUGGCAGUCUUGAGUACAGUAGAGGUGGGCGGAAUUCGUGGUGUAGCGGUGAAAUGCUUAGAUAUCACGAAGAACUCCGAUUGCGAAGGCAGCUCACUAGACUGUCACUGACACUGAUGCUCGAAAGUGUGGGUAUCAAACAGGAUUAGAUACCCUGGUAGUCCAAGGGCGAAUUC
rnacentral:rRNA from 1 species